GAAAUGCGAUAAGUAGUGUGAAUUGCAGAAUUCAGUGAAUCAUCGAAUCUUUGAACGCACAUUGCUCCCCUUGGUAUUCCAUGGGGCAUGCCUGUUCGAGCGUCAUUUGUACCCUCAAGCUCUGCUUGGUGUUGGGUGUUUGUCCCCGUCUCCGCGCGUGGACUCGCCCCAAAUUGAUUGGCAGCCGGCGUACUGGUCCCGGAGCGCAGCACAUGUCGCGCAAACGAGUGCCUUGGUACGGCGGCGUCCAUAAGCCCCUCUCUCACGCUCUUGACCUCGGAUCAGGUAGGGAUACCCGCUGAACUUAAGC
rnacentral:misc_RNA from 1 species